rnacentral:rRNA from 1 species
UACAGAGGUCUCAAGCGUUGUUCGGAUUCAUUGGGCGUAAAGGGUGCGUAGGUGGCGAGGUUAGUCAGGUGUGAAAUCUCGGGGCUCAACCCCCGAAACUGCACUUGAUACUGCCUUGCUAGAGUACUGGAGAGGAGAUUGGAAUUUACGGUGUAGCAGUGAAAUGCGUAGAUAUCGUAAGGAAGACCAGUGGCGAAGGCGAAUCUCUGGACAGUUACUGACACUGAGCACGAAGGCCAGGGGAGCAAACGGG